GCAAAGGUAGCAUAAUCAUUUGCCCCUUAAUUAGGGGCUAGUAUGAAUGGACAAACUUUUUUACUCUGUCUCAAGGAUAACAAGUAAAUUUAUAAUUAAGUGAAGAAGCUUAGAUAGAAAAGAAGGGCCAAAAGACCCUAUAGAGCUUUAUCAAAAUCGAGACACUCGUUCUUGAAUAGAUUUUAUUGGGGCGAUACAUACCUAAAACCGAAAUAAAAAUUACUUACCACUAAUUAUAUAAGAACCUAGAAAGAAUAGAAAAAGCUACCUUAGGGAUAACAGUCUAAUUUCUCUCUCUAGCUCACAUUAACAGAGAAGUUUGGCAC
rnacentral:rRNA from 1 species